AUUGAACGCUGGCGGCAGGCCUAACACAUGCAAGUCGAGCGGAGGGGCGGACGGGUGAGUAAGGCCUAGGAAUCGGCCAGGCAGCGGGGGAUAACGUCAGGUAACGGGCGCUAAUACCGCAUACUAUCAGAAGAGCAUAUGUCGGAUUAGCUAGUUGGUGGGGUAAAGGCCCACCAAGGCGACGAUCCGUAACUGGUCUGAGAGGAUGAUCAGUCAAACUGUGACUGAGACACGUUCCAGACUCCUACGGGAGGCAGCAGUGGGGAAUAUUGGACAAUGGGCGAAAGCCUGAUCCAGCAAUGCCGCGUGUGUGAAGAAGGUCUUCGGAUUGUAAAGCACUGUAGGUUGGGAGGCGUUAUCAACAGAAUAAGCACCGGCUAACUACGUGCCAGCAGCCGCGGUAAUAC
rnacentral:rRNA from 1 species